UGCGAAAUCGUGUCAUUUGAUGUCCAGACACAGGAAUUUGAAGUCUUGCAAGGUCCACCAUGCAGCCAUGACUGUGGGCAUAUGACCAUCCUCCAGCUUCAGGGUGCACUUUGUGUGGCUUGUUCAGAUCGAAGAGUGAACACAAUUGAUGUAUGGAUGAUGGAAGAUCAUGGCUUCUGGUUAAUGAAGUAUCAUAUAAAGCUCGAAAAGUUCUUACCAGAUUACUUGGCGGAGAACACUACCCCGAUAGCUGUUGAUCCAAAGGAUGGACGUAUUUUGCUGAAUGCUGGUUGGUCAUUGGGCUACUAUGACCCCGAGACCUUAGAAAUUGAAACCAUCUACUCAGGGAACAUCCCAGACCAUGGCGUCAAGUUCUGUCCUAUUAUCUGCCAUGAAAGUUUGGUCUGGCCAUAUAGCCCAUCCUGAUCUCUUUUCGGUGCACUCCUACUUUGUGACAACAAUAUCCUUCCCACGGUUAUUUGGUUGGGAGAAUUACAACCAAAGAUGGAAAAGAAGCUUGCUGGCGUAGCAAGUAUUCGCUAUUUUGAAGCCCAUCAAUCUAUCUUACUUAUAGCAAAUUUGUUAUCAUUGUAAACCAAAUUUAGAUUAUUGUAACUGCGCACUGCAUGUACUCCCUCCGUUCCGAAUUGUAGGUCGUUUGACUUUUUUUUAUCUCAA